AGGUGCGAUCAUACCAGCACUAAUGCACCGGAUCCCAUCUGAACUCCGCAGUGAAGCGUGGUUCGGCGAGAGUAGUACUAGGAUGGGUGACCUCCUGGGAAGUCCUUGUGUUGCACUUC
rfam:Phaseolus vulgaris cultivar G19833 chromosome 6, whole genome shotgun sequence.